AGUUUUGGCAAUCAGGCGCCCACCUGGAGAACAAGGGAAUACAGUUAAAGUUUCGGCAAUCAGGCGCCCACCUGGAGAACAAGAGAAUAUAAUUCAAGUUUUGGCAAUCAGGUGCCUACCUGGAGAACAAAGGAAUACAGUUAAAGUUUUGGCAAUCAGGCGCCCACCUGGAGAACGAACGAAUACAGUUCAAGUUUUGGCAAUCAGGCACCCACUUGGAGAACAAGAGAAUAGAGGUCAUGUUUUGGCAAUCAGGCGCCCACCUAGAGGAGAACAAGGGAAUACAAUUAAAGUUUUGGCAAUCAUGCGCCCACUUGGAGAACAAGGGAAUACAAUUCAAGUUUUGGCAAUCAGGCGCCCACCUGGAGAACAAGGGAAUACAGUUCAUGUUUUGGCAAUUAAGCACAAACCUGGAGAACAAGGGAUUACAGUUCAAGUUUGGCAAUCAGGCACCAACCUGGAGAAUAAGGGAAUACAGUUCAAGUUUGGGUAAUCAGGCGCCCACAUGGAGAAUAAGGGAAUACAGUUCAAGUUUUUGCAAUCAGGCACCCACCAGGAGAACAAGGAAAUGCAGUUCAAGUUUUGGCAAUCAGGCGCCCACCUGGAGAACAAGGGAAUACAGUUAAAGUUUCGGCAAUCAGGCGCCCACCUGGAGAACAAGAGAAUACAAUUCAUGUUUUGGCAAUCGGGUGCCCACCUAAAGAACAAGGGAAUACAAUUAAAGUUUUGGCAAUCAGGCGCCCACCUAAAGAUCAAGGGAAUACAAUUAAAGUUUUAACAAUCAGGCGCCCACCUGGAGAACAAGGGAAUACAGUUAAAGUUUCGGCAAUCACGCGCCGACCUGGAGAACAAGGGAAUACAGUUAAAGUUUCGGCAAUCAGGCGCCCACCUGGAGAACAAGAGAAUACAAUUCAAGUUUUGGCAAUCAGGUGCCCACCUAAAGAACAAGGGAAUACAUUUAAAGUUUUGGCAAUCAGGCGCCCACCUGGAGAACAAGGGAAUAUAGUUCAAGUUUUGGCAAUUAGGCGCCUACCUGGAGAAAAGGGAAUACAGUUCAAGUUUUGGCAAUCAGGCGCCCACCUGGAGAACAAGGGAAUAC
rnacentral:lncRNA from 1 species